AGGAUGAACGCUGGCGGCGUGCCUAAUACAUGCAAGUCGAGCGGUAAGGCCGCUUCGGUGGUACACGAGCGGCGGACGGCUGAGUAACACGUAGGAACGUACCCCAAACUGAGGGAUAAGCACCAGAAAUGGUGUCUAAUACCGCAUGUGAUCUUCGGAUUAAAGCUUCGGCGGUUUGGGAACGGCCUGCGCAUGAUUAGCUUGUUGGUGAGGUAAAAGCUCACCAAGGCGACGAUCAUUAGCUGGUCUGAGAGGAUGACCAGCCAGACUGGGACUGAGAACGGCCCAGACUCCUACGGGAGGCAGCAGUAGGGAAUUUUCCACAAUGGGCGAAAGCCUGAUGGAGCAACGCCGCGUGCAGGAUGAAGGCCCUCGGGUCGUAAACUGCUUUUAUAUGUGACGAUUAUGACGGUAGCAUAUGAAUAAGGAUCGGCUAACUCCGUGCCAGCAGCCGC
rnacentral:rRNA from 1 species